rnacentral:rRNA from 1 species
UUGAGCCUACGGGACGCAGCAGUGAGGAAUAUUGGUCAAUGGACGCAAGUCUGAACCAGCCAAGUAGCGUGCAGGAUGACGGCCCUCCGGGUUGUAAACUGCUUUUAGUUGGGAAUAAAAGGGGGCUCGUGAGCCCCGUAUUGUAUGUACCAUCAGAAAAAGGACCGGUUAAUUCCGUGCCAGCAGCCGCGGUAAUACGGAAGGUCCGGGCGUUAUCCGGAUUUAUUGGGUUUAAAGGUAGCGUAGGCCGGCUUUUAAGUCAGCUGUGAAAGUCCGCGGCUCAACCGUUGCAUUGCAGUUGAAAC